AGAUGGACAAAGAUGGGGACCAACCCAUCAGCCCCGCAACAUGUGGCUCCAAAUUGGACUUCUCUCAUCAUCUGAGUUCAGAUCCCAAAGCCAAAGGUCAAGACAAAGGACAAAGACAAAGAAGAGAAACCUACAGUUCUAAAUCAAGAUUCUUCCUGCCAAUAGCCAAGGCCUGAGGAACCUCAGCAUCCAUGCGGAGGUGAAAGCUCAUCAGACCUGCAGGGAUGUCUGUCUUCAUCGAUCAGCACUGUGAGCCUCUUCCUGCUGGGACAGAUUCUUCAUCAUCAGGCUGGUUCCGAGGUUUGAUAUUCCAUACUCAAAGUUUCCCUUUUUAGUUCUCAGUGUCAGCAUUAGGGAAAGAUAAAUUAGAUUGAGAUGAUUUAUUUUUCUUAUUUGAUUAUUUCUGCUACUGAAUUAAGCUGUACUGACCCUUGCAAAACAUUGCCUCAGCUAAUAAAUAUUUAUUUAAAUAAAUAUUCUAAAAGAGAAAUUACCGCAAUAGUGUUGACUCUGAUGUCUUGUUCUAACAAAACAGAUCAAUUCUUACUCAUUCAGUUGGUAUCCUGGACUAAUCAAUUCACAAAGGGUUACACUUAUUGGCGAGCCAGCCAGGAGUUUAGUUUAAUGGCUUGCAAUCUUCAACCUACACAAUAGUUGUGUUGUAUUUCAGAAAAUUGAUCUUUGUGAGUAGUUUGGGGUCAAUAGCGUAACAACCUUGUACAUUUGAGUCAAGCUGUUCUAAUGAUGACAGUUUUAAUGUUUUUUGCUGUUAAAGCUGCAGUAUGUAACUUUUACAGAAAAUGUUGGGUUUGUUUUUUUUACAUAUUUGUUAAAAUUACCACAAUGUUUCCACAAUAUGGCUUAAGACAGAUAAUCUGUGAAAACAUCAAACUCCUCCACAUCCUCCCAGGGCAACUAAUGACAUGUACAGAAAUGCACCGUUCCCUGUCAACGAGUCAGAGCCAGGAGAAAGGUCUUUGCACUGCCAAUCUCCUUCAUGUACACACAGAAAAACAACUUACUGUUAUAGCACAACUGUUUAUCCAAUGAAUAAAUUAAUGAAUGCAUCUACUUUUUGAAUCCCCAGGGGGAAAAUUGACAUUGCAGUACAACUCAUCUAAAAAAUAUUAAUUAUAAUAAAAAACAGUUUAUCCCAGUUAAGAACCAGUACAGUCAAGUUCAGUUUUUUAUUCAAAUUAGUUAAAAUCUAAAGAAAUACAGCAAUUUGCAGCUUUCAGCAUUCACUCCUCCAGAACUUUGAACUACUUGUCUGUUAAUGUGAGGAGAAAAAACACGUACGCGGAAGUUUUGCUAUUCUGUUCUUGUAUCGUGGACAGUUUCUCUGAGUCACUCAGCGUAAGAAGGUGGGCGGGAUCAGUUUUAUCUGGGAGGGUGUGUGUGCCAGGAAGGAGAGUUGGUGGUAGCUGCAUAAAGUUGUUUUUAACUAUCAGAUUUGUUGGAACAAAGCUCAUCUUCGAAGGUGCAUAUGAGGGUUUAGAAAAGUGCACAUUUUUAUUUUAAACAAUUUGAGUUAAAUAUUGGAAGUCUAUUCAAUGACUAAAUUAUUGAGCCUGGAAGUGAGAUAUCAGUUGUGGAAACUAAACGUCAUAAGGAUUGUCUUACGUGACGCGGUCAAUGGAAGGAGGAGGACUGUAUUUAAGGUGGGACUCAGAUGCUUCCAGUUCACUUUGCAGCGAAACAGCAACAUAUGGAUCUGUAACCAACAUGGGAUCAUUUUUUUGUAAAGUAAGAGGAAGUGAUCGGAAUAUGUAUCGACAAGAAACUAAAAGCCCUGCUGUGGGUGGAGUCGACCUGCCUCCAGACACUGAGUGUCAUGCUGUGGGUGGAGUCGACCUGCCUCCAGACACUGAGUGUCAUGCUGUGGGUGGAGUAGAUCUGCCUCCUGACGUGGAGUGCCAGGCCAUCGGUGGAGUCGACCUGCCUCCAUUUGAUAUCCAACAUUUGGACAGUGAGCACAGUGCUCUCGGUGGAAUAGAUGAAUAUCCCAAAUUCACUCAGAAAGUGGGAUAGAUCCACCUCCUAUAUUAGAUCUGCCAGGUCUGAAAUGACAGAAAAGAAGAACAACAAGAAAGUUAUCGUUCUGACUCACUGGGCUUCAGAGGAAAUAAACUCUGGUGAUGCCUUUCUAAAAAAAAUACAAAUGUUGUAGUCUGCAAUAAUAGACCCUUUGAUCAGUUUUAUUUUACUAAUGGUUAAUUGUUAAUGUUUGUGAACUAUUGAAAUCUCAUAUUUUCUAAAUAGAUCUAUAUUUCCUUUUUGAAACAUGUUUUAAUGCUUAAUCUCAGCAUUACACAACGUAUAGAUUUUUAAAAAAUAUUAAAAGAUUUUCACACAAGUAUGUAGUUGUCUGAAUUUUCAUCAUGAAUUUUAUAUUUAUAUUUUAUAUUAUAUUUAAUUUUAUACAUAAAUUUCCAAUAUAAAUAUAUUGCAAAAUAAAAACAUAAGUGAGGGAGAUUAUUCUGUAGAUGUUUUUAAAGCCAGUUGUUCAAUACACCUAUUGCUUUUUUGUUAUUUUAUGUUUUUAAUUUGAAUUGUUUAAUUUUAGUUUUUGUACCCUUAUAUUUGUU